rnacentral:lncRNA from 1 species
AAUAAAGUUUGAAUUUGAAUGGGCAAUCAAUCUUUGCACCUUAUCCCUUUUUUUAUGCCCCAUUUAUUAUAUGAGAAAAGGUUUCUCAUGAAAUCACUCCAUGCACAAUUUAAUCCAUGUCUCAUGCCUUUUAUGGAUAAGGGAUGAGUUGGUGUCUAUUUGAAUUCAAAAUUUGAUUUGAAUUCAAAUGUGCAAUUACUCAUCUUUAUCCUUUCUUUUGGAUAAGACGUUUGACGUUGUUAUAAAAGGAGGAG